CAUCAGAGCAUGUGGUUUUGCAUUCAAUCCGAACUUCGAGGGUUCUGUGCAUGUGGAAUAGGAGUUUGGAUUGAACUGAAUCGAUAACGCCUCUUUCAUCCUCCCUGCUGCUCCAUGACCUGAGAGCUGGGUGAACGCUCCGAGUGUGGGGCCUCGAGCGGAAACCACUUACGUAGGCGGACACCUUCAGCACGGUGGAGACAACACUGAUCUUCUUGGUUUCAGCUUCUUUCUGGACACUGGACAUGGGCACACGAGCCAGUCACUCACUACCACACGAUAGUAUCAACAGCACGAUCAGUUGUUGUGGCACUAUGUCGUAAAGUGUACUUUGAAUAAAGCUUAUUUAUCUA